CUGCUUCCGGAUAUCGCUGAAAGAAAACAUAGCACCUGAUGCUGAUGAUGUUAGAAAUCUCCGAAAAGAGAUCAACUUACAAAACAGAAGAUGCAAAAAAAAGAGUAUCAAUAUUGCCAUCUGCUACACAGCUGCCAGAAAAAUCGAAGGAGGAAAAACCCAGAGAAAUCCAUAAGUCCUGUAUCUCCUAAAUCCACUGAGCUUGCUAACCAAACAGGUUCAUCGAGAGACACAAUGACAAAACCAGUGAGGUUACGAAGAGAAAUACAUAGAAAGUAUAGAAAGUAAAGCUACUUUCAUCUCGAGCCUCUUCUGCAUCAGCUGGAAGUUCCUUCACUGAUAAAGCGAGUGCGACUUCUAAGUCUCGCUGGUAGAGCUUGUCAUCUAAAGCCAUCCUAAAGGGAGACAAAC